AGCAGCCGCGGUAAUUCCAGCUCCAAUAGCGUAUAUUAAAGUUGUUGCAGUUAAAAAGCUCGUAGUUGAAUUUCGGGAUCAGUAGGUUGGUCAUGCCUUUGGUAUGUACUGGCCUCACUGAUUCCUCCCUCUUGAGGAACUGUAAUGUUAUUAAUUUGGUGUUGCGGGGAAUCAGGACUGUUACUUUGAAAAAAUUAGAGUGUUUAAAGCAGGCUUACGCUUGAAUACAUUAGCAUGGAAUAAUGAAAUAGGACGUUUGAUCCUAUUUUGUUGGUUUCUAGGAUUGACGUAAUGAUUAAUAGGGAUAGUUGGGGGCAUUAGUAUUCAAUUGUCAGAGGUGAAAUUCUUGGAUUUAUUGAAGACUAACUACUGCGAAAGCAUUUGCCAAGGAUGUUUUCAUUAAUCAAGAACGAAAGUUAGGGGAUCGAAGACGAUCAGAUACCGUCGUAGUCUUAACCAUAAACUAUGCCGACUAGGGAUCGGAUGAUGUUAAUUUUUUAAUGACCCAUUCGGCGCCUUA
rnacentral:rRNA from 1 species